UAACUGGCCCUGCCCUAUAUUUAAGAGAGGCUGGAAGAGAAGGCCUCUUUUUUGUUCUCCCCUGACUAGCAGCCAGCCACUGUUGCAGCAGUUUACUUAAGGUCUGGUAGUCUUGUUCUCGUGACUUUAUUUGGUAGGUGUGGCAUAUCAAUAGUGAUUACUGUUCACACAUUGUGUGAUCACCUGUGUAUGAAUCGACACUAGAAACUGGAUUGAAGUGGCAGAAGAACAAAAAAUUCAGAGAAUCAAGAAAUGUGUUACACAGCCUGGACAAAAAUGAAGUGUGCCAGUGGCUUGAACAAGAGGGUUUGGGUCCCGUCCUCUAGCAACCACCUGCUCCCACGUGUUGAGUCUUCUGCCUGAUUAUUGUGCAAUAUGUUCAUAGGAGAGAUACUGACUGCCACUGCUGUUUUUGUUUUGCUUCGU